rnacentral:lncRNA from 1 species
UGGAAUCAACAGAGAGUCUGAAAACCGUUCACUGACCUGGGCCCAACUCUUGGACAUACCAAAAUGAUGCAAGCUUAGGUGGAAUUACUCUUGGUAAUCGUCUAAAUUAAAAAAUUUUUCUUCUCAUCGCGUGGUGGAGCCCACCGCUAAAACGAACCCGUGGUACACGCGGAGGGUCCCACGUCUGCUUAGAAUCAAUCACAUCCGGCCGACUUUCUCUGACCGCUCCCGGCAAAUCUGCACCACUAUCUUCUUUCGUCUUUUUCGCUCCUUUUUGCCAGGAAAGAGAGGUCAUGAUGCGAUCGCC